UACGGAGGAUCCGAGCGUUAUCCGGCUUCAUUGGGUUUAAAGGGUGCGUAGGCGGACUAUUAAGUCAGUGGUGAAAGCCUGCAGCUUAACUGCAGAACUGCCAUUGAUACUGAUAGUCUUGAGUUUGGUUAAGGUAGGCGGAAUGUGUAAUGUAGCGGUGAAAUGCUUAGAUAUUACACAGAACACCAAUUGCGUAGGCAGCUUACUGAGCCGACACUGACGCUGAGGCACGAAAGCGUGGGGAUCGAACAGGA
rnacentral:rRNA from 1 species